UACGAAGGGGGGCUAGCGUUGCUCGGAUUGACUGGGCGUAAAGGGCGCGUAGGCGGUUCGUACAGUCAGACGUGAAAUUCCUGGGCUCAACCUGGGGGCUGCGUUUGAUACGUGCGGACUUGAGUGCGGAAGAGGGUCGUGGAAUUCCCAGUGUAGAGGUGAAAUUCGUAGAUAUUGGGAAGAACACCGGUGGCGAAGGCGGCGACCUGGUCCGAUACUGACGCUGAGGCGCGAAAGCGUGGGGAGCAAACAG
rnacentral:rRNA from 1 species